GGCUAUCAGGAUAAUUUACCCCAGUAACCGUCUGCAAGAUUAAUUUCUACCGGAGAUUCCGACGUGUCGGACUAGUUACUGACAGACAUGGAUCCUGAAGCUGGUGGACUACACACCACCAAGGAAAUACACUGGAGAGCUUAUGGGGUGGAGUAUCUAUAUGACCAGACAGGCUACGCUUUGCUGGAGCCAGAGGAGUUUGAGGACGUCACUGUCCCCUUGCUGGAUGCUCCUCCACUCACUGGUGUUUCAUCGGGUCCCAAGGGCAGCCAGACCUGUUCGACUCCAUUCAAGAAAACUCUACAAGUCCUUGCCUUGCUUCAAUCAUCUCUAUGA
rnacentral:lncRNA from 1 species